UGCCGAGGCGGGCGCCAUGGGACCGUGCCGGUUUGCCCCGCCCCGCCUCGCGGCGCUCCCCGCGCCCCGGCGGCAGAAGGAGGCGGGCCCGCGUUCCUCGAGCACGUGCCGGGCCGGGCUGUGCUGAGCGAGGCGUGAGGGGCCGGGCCCAGUGAGCGGCGGGAUGAGGAGUGGCGGGGCGGUGCUGACGGCCGGCUGUUAGCCCUGACCUGGGCGCCUCGAAAAGAAGCAGGGGAGGCAGCUCCAUUUGAAAUUAAUUCCCUAUAAAAAGCAGUUGACGGAGGAGUUUGUAUUUGCGUCUGAACACUUGCAUGCAGCUUCUAGGCGUACAGAACUGCAAUUCAGUGUUGUAUCACGGGUAGCAACAAGGACAUGGACGCCAGAGAUGACAGUGCAUUGGCUGCUUCAGUUUAAAAGCUUUUUUUCAGCUGUUCUCAUCCUGUUUCUUCAAAUGAAGGUGUAACAAACUUUUACACUGUA